CAGGGGAGAGCUGCGAGCGCGGACGUGCGUGGUGCACGCGCGGGGCUCUGUGGCAACACGUGCCGGGUGCGUUGCACGCGCGCGGCUCUCGCAGCACGCACAAGUGCAUUGCACACGCGCAGGGCGUGUUGCACACGCAUGACUUGCAACAUGCAUGGGUGCAUUGCGCAUGCUCGGGGUGUGUUGCACACGCGCAGGGCGUGUUGCACACGCAUGACUUGCAACAUGCAUGGGUGCAUUGCGCAUGCUCGGGGUGUGUUGCACACGCGCAGGGCGUGUUGCACACGCAUGACUUGCAACAUGCAUGGGUGCAUUGCGCAUACUCGGGGUGUGUUGCACACACGCAGGGUGUGUUGCACACGCAUGACUUGCAGCAUGCAUGGGUGCAUUGCACCUGCGCAGGGUGCGUGGCACAUGUGUGGGGUGUCUUGCGCAUGCACGGCUCUGUUGCCACACGUACGGGUGUGUUGCACGCGUGCGAGGUGUGUUUCACACCCACAGCUCUGUUGCAACACGCACGGGUGCAUUGCACACACACAAGGUGUGUUGCACACGUGUGGGGUGCGUUGCACACACGGCUCUGCUGCAACACGCACGGGUGCAUUGCACACACACAGGGUGUGUUGCACACACAUGGGGGUGUGUUGCACAUGCACAGCUAUGUUGCAGCACGUACGGAUGUGUUGCACCCAUGCAGGGUGUGUUGCACAAGCACGGCUAUGUUGCAACACGCACGGGUGUGUUGCAGCCGUACAGCGUGUGUUGCUCACUUGUGGGCGUGUUGCACACGCACAGCUAUGUUGCAACACGCAUGGGUGUGUUGCAGCCGUGCAGUGUGUGUUGCACACUUGUGGGUGUCUUGCACAGGCACGGCUCUGUUGCAACACGAACAGGUGUGUUGCACCCGUGCAGGGUGUACUGCACCUGCGCAGGUUGUGUUGCACACGUGGAGGUGUGUUGCACACUCCCAGCUAUGUUGCAACACGCGCCGGCAUCUUGCAGCCGCGCAGGAUGUGUUACACACUCGUGGGUGCGUUGCGCACACACAGAGCUCUGCUGCAACAUGCACUGGCGUGCUGCAGCCACGCAGGGUGUGUUGCACCCACGCAGGGGUGUGUUGCACACGCAGGAGGGGGGGCGAGCACGGCCCCGCCACAGGGCGCGUGUGCGGCGGGGGUCGCCCCCCCGCCGCCGUGCGAGCCNNNNNNNNNNNNNNNNNNNNNNNNNNNNNNNNNNNNNNNN
rnacentral:lncRNA from 1 species